AGUGAACGCUGGCGGUAGGCCUAACACAUGCAAGUCGAACGGCAGCACAGUAAGAGCUUGCUCUUACGGGUGGCGAGUGGCGGACGAGUGAGGAAUACAUCGGAAUCUACUUUUUCGUGGGGGAUAACGUAGGGAAACUUACGCUAAUACCGCAUACGACCUACGGGUGAAAGCAGGGGAUCUUCGGACCUUGCGCGAUUGAAUGAGCCGAUGUCGGAUUAGCUAGUUGGCGGGGUAAAGGCCCACCAAGGCGACGAUCCGUAGCUGGUCUGAGAGGAUGAUCAGCCACACUGGAACUGAGACACGGUCCAGACUCCUACGGGGGGCAGCAGUGGGGAAUAUUGGACAAAGGGCGCAAGCCUGAUCCAGCCAUACCGCGUGGGUGAAGAAGGCCUUCGGGUUGUAAAGCCCUUUUGUUGGGAAAGAAAAGCAGCAGGUUAAUACCCCGCUGUUCUGACGGUACCCAAAGAAUAAGCACCGGCUAACUUCGUG
rnacentral:rRNA from 1 species